UGCUUCGACGCUGAGUGGAACGAAUGAGAACUUUUCCUGUAGGCCUCUCUUGUCCAUACGCCCAUGUUCCCCAGGCUGCUCUCCUAAUAGGACAGGUCCCUGGUCCCAGGCUAAGCGUGCAGCAUGACUUCUCAUUCGUUCAACUCAGUGUCGAAGCAAGAGAG